GACGAACGCUGGCGGCGUGCUUAACACAUGCAAGUCGAACGAUGAAGCUGGAGCUUGCUCCGGUGGAUUAGUGGCGAACGGGUGAGUAACACGUGAGCAAUCUGCCCUUGACUCUGGGAUAACUGCGGGAAACUGUAGCUAAUACCGGAUACUUUCACUGGAAGGCAUCUUCUGGUGAAGAAAGAAUUUCGGUCAAGGAUGAGCUCGCGGCCUAUCAGCUUGUUGGUGAGGUAACGGCUCACCAAGGCGACGACGGGUAGCCUGCCUGAGAGGGUGACCGGCCACACUGGGACUGAGACACGGCCCAGACUCCUACGGGAGGCAGCAGUGGGAAUAUUGCACAAUGGGCGCAAGCCUGAUGCAGCAACGCCGCGUGAGGGAUGAAGGCCUUCGGGUUGUAAACCUCUUUUAGCAGGGAAGAGGCGAAAGUGACGGUACCUGCAGAAAAAGCACCGGCUAACUACGUGCCAGCAGCCGCAGUAA
rnacentral:rRNA from 1 species